rfam:Proteobacteria bacterium ST_bin12 43, whole genome shotgun sequence.
GAAGCUGGCCAGACAGUCGCUGCCUAACUUGAUUAGGGGGAGGAAAGUCCGGGCUGCACAGAGCAAGAUGACGGCUAACAGCCGUACGCUGAAAGUUUGGGGAACCAAGUAUAAGGCGCGGAAUAGGGCCACAGAGACGAGUAAACACUUUCGGGUGUGGAUGUGAAACGCGGUAACCUCCAUUUGCAGCAAUAUCAAAUAGGCUGGCAUUUUAACUUCGGUUGAUAAGGCGUUGCUCGCGCUGCCAGCGGGUAGAUAGCUUGAGCGUACUAGCAAUGGUGCGCCUAGAUGAAUGACUGUUAACUUUAGCAAUAAAGUCUACAAAACCCGGCUUAUCGGCCAGCUUCAACU